CCUACGGGAGGCAGCAGUAGGGAAUCUUCCACAAUGGGCGCAAGCCUGAUGGAGCAACGCCGCGUGGAUGAUGAAGGUCUUCGGAUCGUAAAACUCUGUUUUUAGAGAAGAAAGUUCGUGAGAGUAACUGUUCACGUUUCGACGGUAUCUAACCAGAAAGCCACGGCUAACUACGUGCCAGCAGCCGCGGUAAUACGUAGGUGGCAAGCGUUAUCCGGAUUUAUUGGGAGUAAAGGGAACGCAGGCGGUCUUUUAAGUCUGAUGUGAAAGCCUUCGGCUUAACCGGAGUAGUGCAUUGGAAACUGGGAGACUUGAGUGCAGAAGAGGAGAGUGGAACUCCAGGUGUAGCGGUGAAAUGCGUAGAUAUAUGGAAGAACACCAGUGGCGAAAGCAGCUCUCUGGUCUGUAACUGACGCUGAGGUUCGAAAGCGUGGGUAGCAAACAGGAUUAGAUACCCCAGUAGUC
rnacentral:rRNA from 1 species